GUCCCUGUCCCUGUCGGGAGAUGCCGAGUUCGGCGUUGCGGAAUAAGGCGCGAGCAGGGAGCUGCGCCUGCAGGAGCCCGUCACGCUUAGCAGGCGAAUGCAGCCUUUGAAAGCACUGAGGGAGGUGCCCGUAUAGAUGGUGUAAGGAUUGCAGCUGUCUGUGAGGUGUUCCCGUGAGGCGCCCGCUGUUGUCACCGGCUCUGCGCGGAGAGGGUCGUAGGGCCGGAGCAGCACCGGGCUGAGCCCUCAGCACCACGCUGCGGGAGAGGGCUCUGGAAAGCAAAAGCAGGCAGAAAAUACUCCAGGAGGGAGCAGAGAGCUUCCUUUCCAUUUCAUUGGAAAGGAAGAAAGCACGAGAUGAAGUUCUCAAGAAAUACAGGUCAUCAUCGUAAAGAAGAGGAAGCAGAGGGAAACUUAGUAGUGGCAGUCAAAACCAUGGAGGUCUCAGGCAAGGACGACGAAAAGCUGAACCACCAAGUUCUCAGUGGAUUUGAAGAUAACAAGUGUUUUAUUUGCAACAAGAAGGAUUGCCAUUACCUAUUAGCAAAAAAUGGUAAACGUGGCAAAUAUUUGAACACCUUGCCUAUGGAGGUUUUAUUACUGCCAUAAAUUAGCUGUCCUGUUGAAGCAAUCUUUAGCCUGAUUUUAUAUUGCUCUAUGACUCCCUAUUGGUUGAUAAUGAACAUGAAUCAUAAACCCCACAGAAACUUCUUAUUUUGUAUGCAGUUCACAUUCAUGAGACACUGAUACAAACAUCUGGCACAAGGAACAAGGCAUUGGAAAAUGAGGCCUAAGAGAGUCGUAUAUUGUGAAGUAUGUUUCACACACUUCCAUGAAACCCUCAAAUAUGUAAUCCCUAAACACAUUUAUCAUCAGCAGUUCCUACUGUUUUAGAGAUUGCAAAAGACAGAGCUGACUAAUUGCCUUUGUAAUAUCCACAGAUAUCAGUAACAGAAGAAGGGAUAAAAACUGACAUCUUCAUUUCCACCACCUCUCUUCACUAUCACCUAGUUUACCUAAUUUCUCAUAUACUCAUCCUCUAGAUUUUUUUUUUUAAUCUGUUGUGUUUGGUAAAUGUAAAAGCAAUAGGUAAAGGGUGUGUUCACUGUGCAGCCUCAAAAGGCAGAGAACUAUGAGUUUUACAGGUGAACUGUCUUUGGGUGAAGGAGGAGCUACUCAGUGCUAGGAAAAGCUGGGAGCAUAACAGAGCUUUCCCUUUGGGCUCAGCUGCAAGGCUCUUAGGCUCCUCCAGUCUGCCAGCAUGGAUUAUUAGGAGACAGAAGCCAGUGUAAAGAAGAAGGAAAUUAGGAUUUAGUUUCUUUUAUGAAUAAAAAGAGUGAUA